rnacentral:rRNA from 1 species
CGGGUGCACUGAUCCAGCCGGGCCUUUCCCUCUGUGGAACCCCAUGGCCUUCACUGGCUGUGGCGGGGAAACAGGACUUUUACUUUGAAAAAAUUAGAGUGCUCCAGGCAGGCCUAUGCUCGAAUACAUUAGCAUGGAAUAAUAGAAUAGGACGUGUGGUUCUAUUUUGUUGGUUUCUAGGACCGCCGUAAUGAUUAAUAGGGACAGUCGGGGGCAUCAGUAUUCAAUUGUCAGAGGUGAAAUUCUUGGAUCUAUUGAAGACUAACUACUGCGAAAGCAUUUGCCAAGGAUGUUUUCAUUGAUAAGGAACGAAAGUUAGGGGAUCGAAGACGAUCAGAUACCGUCGUAGUCUUAACUAUAAACUAUGCCGACUAGGGAUCGGACGAUGUUAUUCUUUGACGCGUUCGGCACCUUUCGAGAAAUCAAAGUGCUUGGGCUCCAGGGGGAGUAUGGUCGCAAGGCUGAAACUUAAAGAAAUUGACGGAAGGGCACCACCAGGGGUGGAACCUGCGGCUUAAUUUGACUCAACACGGGGAAACUCACCAGGUCCAGACACAGUGAGGAUUGACAGAUUGAGAGCUCUUUCUUGAUUCUGUGGGUGGUGGUGCAUGGGCCGUUCUUAGUUGGUGGAGUGAUUUGUCUGCUUAAUUGCGAUAACGAACGAGACCUUAACCUGCUAAAUAGCCCGUACUGCUUUGGCAGUUCGCCGGCUUCUUAGAGGGACUAUCGG